rnacentral:rRNA from 1 species
AGUGGCGAGCGAACGGGGAAGAGCCCAAACCGCUGCCGUUUCGGCGACAGCGGGGUCAUGGGACCGCGAUACUCGACGGAAGACGAAGUGCAAUUACCUGGAAAGGUAAGCCGUGGAGGGUGACAGCCCCGUGCACGACACCUCUUUCAAAGAUAGCGGUAUCCCGAGUAGGGCGGGACACGAGAAAUCCUGCCUGAAUUCGCCAGGACCUCCUGGCAAGGCUAAAUACUCCCGAGAGACCGAUAGUGAACCAGUACCGCGAGGGAAAGGUGAAAAGUACCCCGAGCAGGGGGGUGAAAUAGACCCUGAACCCGCGCGCCUACAAGCGGUCGGAGCCAUGAAAUAUGGUGACGGCGUGCCUUUUGCAUAAUGAGCCUACGAGUUAGUCGUCACCAGCGAGGUUAAGGGCUUCAGGCCCGUUAGCCGAAGUGAAAGCGAGCCUUAACAGGGCGUCGAGUUGGUGGCGCUAGACGCGAAACCUUGUGAUCUACCCACGAGCAGGUUGAAGUCGCGGUAACACGUGAUGGAGGACCGAACCGGUAAACGUUGAAAAGUUUUCGGAUGACUCGCGGGUAGGGGUGAAAGGCCAAUCAAACUGGGAAAUAGCUCGUACUCUCCGAAAUGCAUUUCGGUGCAGCCUGUGAUGUUCUGUUCCAGAGGUAGAGCUACUGGUUGGACGCGAGGGCUUCACCGCCUAUCAAAUCCGGAUAAACUCCGAAUGCUGGAACACGAAAUCAUGGAGUGAGCCCGCGGGUGCUAAGGUCCGCGGACGAGAGGGAAAGAACCCGGACCACCGGCUAAGGUCCCGGAUGGACAGUUAAGUUGAUCAAACGAGGUGGGAUCGCUGAGACAGCUAGGAUGUUGGCUUGGAAGCAGCCAUUCAUUUAAAGAGUGCGUAACAGCUCACUAGUCGAGCGAUCCCGCGUGGAUAAUACACGGGCAUCAAACUGUCAACCGAAGCCGUGGGGUUAGUUAAUGACUAACCGGUAGGAGAGCAUUCCUGCCAGCUUUGAAGGUCACCCGCGAGAGUGACUGGAGCGGCAUGAAAAGCAAAUGUAGGCAUAAGUAACGAUAAUGGGGGCGAGAACCCCCCACGCCGCAAGACCAAGGAUUCCCCGGCAAUGUCAAUCAGCCGGGGGUCAGCCGGCCUCUAAGGCUCACCCGAAAGGGGAUGCCGACGAGAAACGGGUUAACAUUCCCGUGCUUCUCGUCACCGUGACGCGGUGACGGGGUGAUGAAUGGACCGCGCGCUGACGGAAUAGCGCGUUGAAGGCCGUACCCGAUGAGGGUGGUAGUCAAGCACGCCACCCGAGGCGAGAGCCGAUAGUACCACGAGACUCCGGUCGAGUGGAUAGCGUCCAGGCAAUUUACCCCCUAGAAAACCCGCUAAACUUCAAGUGACGAGGAACCGUACUGUAAACGGACACACGUGGUCGGGUAGAACAUACCAAGGCGCUCGAGUGAUUCAUGGUCAAGGAACUAGGCAAAAUAGUCCUGUAACUUAGGGAUAAAGGACGCUCUAGUGAUAGAGCCGCAGAGUAAUGGCCCAGGCGACUGUUUACCAAAAACACAUGGCUAUGCCAAAUCGAAAGAUGACGUAUAUGGCCUGACACCUGCCCGGUGCCGGAAGGUUAAGAGGAGAGCUCAUCGGAAACGAGAAGGUUUGAAUUGAAGCCCCGGUAAACGGCGGCCGUAACUAUAACGGUCCUAAGGUAGCGAAAUUCCUUGUCGGGUAAGUUCCGACC